UCGGUGCUGUAGCGGAGGAGAUGCUCCCGGC
rnacentral:piRNA from 1 species